rnacentral:rRNA from 1 species
UGGGGAAUAUUGCACAAUGGGGGAAACCCUGAUGCAGCAACGCCGCGUGGAGGAUGACACUUUUCGGAGCGUAAACUCCUUUUCUGUUAGAAGAUAAUGACGGUAUAACAGGAAUAAGCACCGGCUAACUCCGUGCCAGCAGCCGCGGUAAUACGGAGGGUGCAAGCGUUACUCGGAAUCACUGGGCGUAAAGAGCGUGUAGGCUGUUUAGCAAGUCAGAAGUGAAAUCCUAUAGCUCAACUAUAGAACUGCUUUUGAAACUGCUUAACUAGAGUGUGGGAGAGGCAGAUGGAAUUUCUGGUGUAGGGGUAAAAUCCGUAGAUAUCAGAAGGAAUACCGAUUGCGAAGGCGAUCUGCUGGAACAUUACUGACGCUGAGACGCGAAAGCGUGGGGAGCAAA